UACGUAGGGGGCAAGCGUUGUCCGGAUUUAUUGGGCGUAAAGAGCGUGUAGGCGGCCAGGUAGGUCAGCUGUGAAAACUCGAGGCUCAACCUCGAGACGCCGGUUGAAACCAUCUGGCUAGAGUCCGGAAGAGGAGAGUGGAAUUCCUGGAUGUAGCGGUGAAAUGCGCAGAUAUCAGGAAGAACACCCGUGGCUAAGGCGGCUCUCUAGUACGGUACUGACGCUGAGACGCGAAAGCGUGGGGAGCGAACAGG
rnacentral:rRNA from 1 species